rnacentral:lncRNA from 1 species
GGAGCAGAAGGCCGCGUGAGGAGGAAGGCAGAGAUGGGGAACACGGCCAAAAGUCGGGGAAUACCAACGAUAGCCAGGGGCCGCCAGAAGCUGGUGAGGAGCGUGGACAGAUGCUCCCUCGGCCUCAGGAGGAACCAGCCAGCGGCAUCUUGACCUCGUGCUUCCUGCCUCCAGAACCAGGAGAGAACGCACGCUGUGGCUCCUUGUUCCCGAGCCCCGGGGCCUGCCCACCUGGGCCCAGGCCCAUCCUGACAGGAGGUGCCUCCCACUGCAGAUCCUCACUGAGCACACACCACACGCAGCUCUGAGGCAAGGGAACAGAGUCGACACAGUUCCCCAUCUGCAGGGCCGGCCUCGAGUGUGGGGGGCUGACAGACACAAGGGCACCACAGACAAGUGACAGUGAAUAUCAUACAACUAAAAUGUCUCAGGAGUUUAGAGCCAAACUGGCCCCUUGAGAAGCUUGUCCUGAUGCCCUGAGAUGUCCUCGGGCUUCAAGAAGAUGAAGAAGAAGGUGCCGAGGGUGGCACUAGAAGUGAAACAACCCUGGAAUGGAGGAUGAAGCCACAGAGGAAGCAAAAUUACAUGCAAACAUUUGUUCUGCAAACCCAAAGUGUGAAGAAAGUUGGGCUCAAAUACUAGAAACAAGCUCCCUGCCUCUGAAUUUCAAAAUCUUCUUCGUUUGCAUAAAGGCUCACAGAAGAGAUCGGCCUCUCAGCUGGUCUUCUCCCUUAAGGAUCGGCUUCUCACGUCAAGGAAAAUGACACAGACGACUCUAGUAAGGUGGGUGCUGUGUUGGUGACCUGUAUUUCUGUGACAGCGGCUUCAGACUGCUGGCUUUGUG